GGCGCCCUACGGGACGCAGCAGUCGGGAAUAUUGCGCAAUGGAGGAAACUCUGACGCAGUGACGCCGCGUAUAGGAAGAAGGUUUUCGGAUUGUAAACUAUUGUCGUUAGGGAAGAGAAAGGACAGUACCUAAGGAGGAAGCUCCGGCUAACUACGUGCCAGCAGCCGCGGUAAUACGUAGGGAGCAAGCGUUGUCCGGAUUUACUGGGUGUAAAGGGUGCGUAGGCGGCUUUGCAAGUCAGAAGUGAAAUCUAUGGGCUUAACCCAUAAACUGCUUUUGAAACUGCAGGGCUUGAGUGAAGUAG
rnacentral:rRNA from 1 species